rnacentral:rRNA from 1 species
UGAGGAACAUGACCUUGGCGGGGGAUAGCCGGCCCAACGGCCGGGUAAUACCGCGUACGUCGGCGGAAGCGCAUGCUCCUGCCGGGAAAGCAGCAAUGCACCGAUGGAGGAUCUCGCGGCCUAUCAGCUAGUUGGUGAGGUAACGGCUCACCAAGGCGACGACGGGUANCUGGUCUGAGAGGAUGGCCAGCCANAUUGGGACUGAGACACGGCCCAGACCUNUACGGGAG